UCCCGGAUGUUAGCGGCGGACGGGUGAGUAACACGUGGGUAACCUGCCUGUAAGACUGGGAUAACUCCGGGAAACCGGAGCUAAUACCGGAUAGUUCCUUGAACCGCAUGGUUCAAGGAUGAAAGACGGUUUCGGCUGUCACUUACAGAUGGACCCGCGGCGCAUUAGCUAGUUGGUGAGGUAACGGCUCACCAAGGCGACGAUGCGUAGCCGACCUGAGAGGGUGAUCGGCCACACUGGGACUGAGACACGGCCCAGACUCCUACGGGAGGCAGCAGUAGGGAAUCUUCCGCAAUGGACGAAAGUCUGACGGAGCAACGCCGCGUGAGUGAUGAAGGUUUUCGGAUCGUAAAGCUCUGUUGUUAGGGAAGAACAAGUGCAAGAGUAACUGCUUGCACCUUGACGGUACCUAACCAGAAAGCCACGGCUAACUACGUGCCAGCAGCCGCGGUAAUACGUAGGUGGCAAGCGUUGUCCGGAAUUAUUGGGCGUAAAGGGCUCGCAGGCGGUUUCUUAAGUCUGAUGUGAAAGCCCCCGGCUCAACCGGGGAGGGUCAUUGGAAACUGGGAAACUUGAGUGCAGAAGAGGAGAGUGGAAUUCCACGUGUAGCGGUGAAAUGCGUAGAGAUGUGGAGGAACACCAGUGGCGAAGGCGACUCUCUGGUCUGUAACUGACGCUGAGGAGCGAAAGCGUGGGGAGCGAACAGGAUUAGAUACCCUGGUAGUCCACGCCGUAAACGAUGAGUGCUAAGUGUUAGGGGGUUUCCGCCCCUUAGUGCUGCAGCUAACGCAUUAAGCACUCCGCCUGGGGAGUACGGUCGCAAGACUGAAACUCAAAGGAAUUGACGGGGGCCCGCACAAG
rnacentral:rRNA from 1 species